rnacentral:rRNA from 1 species
AUGGCCGAGGAGGCGCAGGCGCUGGGGUUGGCUCUGGGUCUGGGAACCGAAAGCUCGCCGGGGACGACGUUGGUCGAGGACUCGGUGACUCGUGCGGGGGCGUCCAGGCGGCGCAGGUCGCCCCGUCUGGAGCGCGCGCGCCGGCAGGCCAUGUCCGUGCUCUUCGACGAGCUGGGCGCGCUGCUCCCCGACCUCCCCCACCGGGCGUGCAAGGCGGACAUCGUCGACGGGGCCAUCGCGUACGUCAGGGCGCUGGAGGACACGGCCGCCGAGCUCGAGGCGCACAGGGCGAUGUCGGCCGGGCGGAGCCGCCGCGCGCGCCACGGCGGCGGUGCCGCCGAGGUCGUCGUGGCGGGGGAGACGUCGUGCUUCGCCGUCCGGCUGCGCGCGGCAAGGCCGGGCGCGCUCACGCGCGUGCUCCAGGUGUUCCAGCGGCACCGCGUGCCCGUCCUGGCGACCACCGUCUCGCGAAACGGCGGGGAGGCAGCGGUCACGGUCACCACGGCGGUGGUGGCACCGGCGGUCGCGGGGAAGAUCGAGGCAGAUAUUAUUAGCAGCAAUGCGUGA